AGAAUCAACGCUGGCGGCGUGCCUAACACAUGCAAGUCGAACGAGAAAGUGGAGCAAUCCAUGAGUAAAGUGGCGCACGGGUGAGUAACACGUGACUAACCUACCCUCGAGUGGGGAAUAACUUCGGGAAACCGAGGCUAACACCGCAUAACAUCUACGGAUCAAAUGCGUAAGCAGCUUGAGGAGGGGUCGCGGCUGAUUAGCUAGUUGGCGGGUAAUGGCCCACCAAGGCAAUGAUCAGUA
rnacentral:rRNA from 1 species